GUGUGGGGACGCUCUGCUCAGCUUUGGGGCCACAGACGGCAGGACGCCAUCAUGUCCACCAUGGCCUGGUCCCCUCUGCUCCUCACCCUGGUUGCUCUCUGCACAGGAUCCUGGGCCCAGGCUGUGCUGACUCAGCCAUCCUCCGUGUCCAAGUCCCUGGGCCAGAGUGUCUCCAUCACCUGCUCUGGAAGCAGCAGCAACGUUGGA